AUUGAACGCUAGCGGUAUGCUUUACACAUGCAAGUCGAACGGCAGCGCGGACUUCGGUCUGGCGGCGAGUGGCGAACGGGUGAGUAAUGUAUCGGAACGUGCCCAGUAGCGGGGGAUAACUACGCGAAAGCGUAGCUAAUACCGCAUACGCCCUACGGGGGAAAGCAGGGGAUCGUAAGACCUUGCACUAUUGGAGCGGCCGAUAUCGGAUUAGCUAGUUGGUGAGGUAACGGCUCACCAAGGCGACGAUCCGUAGCUGGUUUGAGAGGACGACCAGCCACACUGGGACUGAGACACGGCCCAGACUCCUACGGGAGGCAGCAGUGGGGAAUGUUGGACGAUGGGGGCAACCCUGAUCCAGCCAUCCCGCGUGUGCGAUGAAGGCCUUCGGGUUGUAAAGCACUUUUGGCAGGAAAGAAACGUCGCGGGCUAAUACCCCGUGGAACUGACGGUACCUGCAGAAUAAGCACCGGCUAACUACGUG
rnacentral:rRNA from 1 species